CCAUCCCAGUUCGGAUCGCAGGCUGCAACCCGCCUGCGUGAAGUUGGAAUCGCUAGUAAUCGCGGAUCAGCAUGCCGCGGUGAAUACGUUCCCGGGCCUUGUACACACCGCCCGUCACACCAUGAGAGUCGGGAACACCCGAAGUCCGUAGCCUAACCGCAAGGGGGGCGCGGCCGAAGGUGGGUUCGAUAAUUGGGGUGAAGUCGUAACAAGGUAGC
rnacentral:rRNA from 1 species